UACGAAGGGGGCUAGCGUUGUUCGGAUUUACUGGGCGUAAAGCGCACGUAGGCGGUCCUAUAAGUCAGUGCUGAAAUAUCCCGGCUUAACCGGGAGGGUGGCAUUGAUACUGCAGGACUUGAGUAAAGUUGAGGUAGGCGGAAUUGACGGUGUAGCGGUGAAAUGCUUAGAUAUCGUCAAGAACACCGAUAGUGUAGACAGCUUACUAAGCUUUAACUGACGCUGAGGCACGAAAGUGUGGGGAUCAAACAGG
rnacentral:rRNA from 1 species